rnacentral:rRNA from 1 species
CUACGGGUCGCUGCAGUGGGGAAUAUUGGACAAUGGGGGAAACCCUGAUCCAGCAAUGCCGCGUGUGUGAAGAAGGCCUGCGGGUUGUAAAGCACUUUCGGUUGGGAGGACUGCUUCUAGCACUAAUAUUGUUGGAAGUUGACGUUACCUUCAGAAGAAGCACCGGCUAACUCCGUGCCAGCAGCCGCGGUAAUACGGAGGGCGCAAGCGUUAAUCGGAAUUACUGGGCGUAAAGCGCGCGUAGGCGGCUAGAUCAGUCGGGGGUGAAAGCCCCGGGCUUAACCUGGGAACUGCAUCCGAUACUGUCUAGCUUGAGUACAGGAGAGGAGAGUGGAAUUCCACAUGUAGCGGUGAAAUGCGUAGAUAUGUGGAGGAACACCAAUGGCGAAGGCAGCUCUCUGGCCUGAUACUGACGCUGAGGUGCGAAAGCGUGGGGAGCAAACAGGAUUAGAUACCCGAGUAGUC